rnacentral:rRNA from 1 species
GACGAACGCUGGUGGCGUGCUUAACACAUGCAAGUCGAACGGAAAGGCCCUGCUUUUGUGGGGUGCUCGAGUGGCGAACGGGUGAGUAACACGUGAGUAACCUGCCCUUGACUUUGGGAUAACUUCAGGAAACUGGGGCUAAUACCGGAUAGGAGCUCCUGCUGCAUGGUGGGGGUUGGAAAGUUUCGGCGGUUGGGGAUGGACUCGCGGCUUAUCAGCUUGUUGGUGGGGUAGUGGCUUACCAAGGCUUUGACGGGUAGCCGGCCUGAGAGGGUGACCGGCCACAUUGGGACUGAGAUACGGCCCAGACUCCUACGGGAGGCAGCAGUGGGGAAUAUUGCACAAUGGGCGGAAGCCUGAUGCAGCAACGCCGCGUGCGGGAUGACGGCCUUCGGGUUGAAAACCGCUUUCGCCUGUGACGAAGCGUGAGUGACGGUAAUGGGUAAAGAAGCACCGGCUAACUACGUG